rnacentral:rRNA from 1 species
CUAGAGUUUGAUCCUGGCUCAAAACGAAACGCUGGCGGCUGGGCUUAACACAUGCAAGUCGAACGCCCCGCACGGGGAGUGGCAGACGGGUGAGUAACGCGUGGGAAUCUACCCAGAACUUCGAAACNACUGAGGGAANAUUCNNCUAAUACCGGAUACGCCCUACGGGGGACCAAUUCUANNGANUCUGNAAUAGNUNNUCUUUGGAACUCUUCUUGGCCUCGCGCUCUCAAAUUCCCCUCUCCCUGAGGAUCCGUCGCUGUGAUGAGUACCUACCGCUUGCGCCUCUUGUCCCCACACCCCGAGGUCUUUGCUUUUUCGUGUGUUGUAUCUAAUCCCACAGUGGAUGGUGUCGCGCCCGCGGGCAGGCCUCCUCCCCCUCCCGGCUUCCCCCUUGCCUCCCUCACCGCUCGCUCUAAGGCUACUACUGGGACCCGAUUCUUAGAAGACGACCACCACCACUAUAGCGCAGUGUAGUGCUCAUGGGGAUGAUAGCGUACAUUUCCAAUAUACGAAGACGCCCUUCCCAUCCUUUCGAAACGGAGGUGGGCAGGACGAAGGAGCCCCGCAACCACUCACCUGAGGUGUAAUACAGCGAGCGCGACUGAACCCCAUACUAUCAGAAGUCCGGUAGUAACACGUAAACCCGCGCCUCUCCCCCUCGCCCCCUCAUCGACGUUCCGUCGCCUCUGGAUGCGGCUACCGGCCAUCCAUUAUCGAGAGAACCCUCGCACCAGUCGCCACCUGUGUGCGCAAAGUGCGGCGGGCUUUACAUGUACCUUCUCUCGCCCGGCUCGAUCUCUCUCUAUACCGAACUCUAGUAGACCCAUGCCAAGG